UAUUCUCUCCACCCUUCUUCUCCCAUGCUUUUUCUCAAAUGAGGCACUGAGGAUAUCUGAAGCAGAAAAGCAAGAGGGAGAUCUGUGUUCCCACAGAACAAGUACUUUGGACUCAAAGGAAAAACAUUCCUCAAAGGGAUGAAUAAAUGUUCACUCCCUCUCUAGACUGAUUUCUCCUGGCCCCUGCUGCUCUCACACACCCUGGACAAGUGAUGUGCUACUGUGUUUUCUUCUCUUCUUCUUCCCAUUGUCCUUCUGUCCCUGGUUCUGUCCAAAGAGCAAGAAAGAUUACUACAUGGGGACUGGAAGAGCUUGGUUUCAGUCAAAAUAGCAGAAUAUUGUGUAUAGUAAACUACCAUCUGUCUUAAAAUAAGAAAAGCAAAAGACAUAUGUUUAUAAAAGCUUUCUAAGAUAAUGUGGAAGAAAUGGACAAUACCACCCAUCUCUGGAGGAGAGCUAGGAAUCUGGGACCUACAGAGACAGGCUUUUCACUUUAUCCCCAGGUACAUUUUGAAUUUUGAACCAUGUUGAAUGUAUUAGCUAUUUAAAAAAAUAA